rnacentral:lncRNA from 1 species
GAAAGCGCCUACAAAUUGCCCCUCUUCCAUCUCUCUAAGGCGCGCGCCCAGCCCAGAGCGGGCCGGGGCACAGGGCGCAGGCGGGAGGUCGCAUCUGCAGCUUUGGCGCAAUGAAUCAGGCACGGCCGCCGCCGCCGAGCGCGUCUGGCAUCCGGAGUCUCCCGGGAUCGAAAAUAAUUUGGGCAAAGCGGUGGGAGAUUCGUCUAAUGCCAACGCCGUGACCUCAGUUUCCCCACAUUUCCAAGACAGCCGCCUUGGCUCCCAAGUUCACCUCAAAUUCAGAGAUCUACCUUCUACUGUCUUCCAAGUUCUGGGAUUAAAACCUGCACAGUCAUUCACAUUUAUUUAUUUAUU